rnacentral:rRNA from 1 species
AACUUUCAGCAACGGAUCUCUUGGUUCUCGCAUCGAUGAAGAACGUAGCAAAGUGCGAUAAGUAAUGUGCAUUGCAACCAGUGAAUCAUUGAAUCUUUGAACGCAUCUUGCACUCUCUGGUUUUCCGGAGAGUACGCCUGUUUCAGUU